GAUGAACGCUAGCGGGAGGCCUAACACAUGCAAGCCGAGCGGUAGAGUUUCUUCGGAAACUUGAGAGCGGCGCACGGGUGCGUAACACGUGUGCAACCUACCUUUAUCUGGGGGAUAGCCUUUCGAAAGGAAGAUUAAUACCCCAUAAUAUAAUGAUUGGCAUCAAUUAUUAUUGAAAACUCCGGUGGAUAGAGAUGGGCACGCGCAAGAUUAGAUAGUUGGUGAGGUAACGGCUCACCAAGUCAAUGAUCUUUAGGGGUCCUGAGAGGGAGAUCCCCCACACUGGUACUGAGACACGGACCAGACUCCUACGGGAGGCAGCAGUGAAGAAUAUUGGACAAUGGGUGAGAGCCUGAUCCAGCCAUCCCGCGUGAAGGAUGACGGUCCUAUGGAUUGUAAACUUCUUUUGUACAGGGAUAAACCUACCCUCGUGAGGGUAGCUGAAGGUACUGUACGAAUAAGCACCGGCUAACUCCGUG
rnacentral:rRNA from 1 species